AAAAAGAUAAGCUAAUAAAGCUCAUGGGUUCAUACCCCGUAUAUAAAGGUUUAAAUCCUUUUCUUUUUA
rnacentral:tRNA from 2 species